rnacentral:rRNA from 1 species
CCUACGGGAGGCAGCAGUGGGGAAUAUUGGACAAUGGGCGAAAGCCUGAUCCAGCCAUGCCGCGUGUGUGAAGAAGGCCUUCGGGUUGUAAAGCACUUUCAGUGGGGAAGAAAGCCUUGGGGCUAAUACCCUCGAGGAAGGACAUCACCCACAGAAGAAGCACCGGCUAACUCCGUGCCAGCAGCCGCGGUAAUACGGAGGGUGCGAGCGUUAAUCGGAAUUACUGGGCGUAAAGCGCGCGUAGGCGGUCUGAUAAGCCGGUUGUGAAAGCCCCGGGCUCAACCUGGGAACGGCAUCCGGAACUGUCAGGCUAGAGUGCAGGAGAGGAAGGUAGAAUUCCCGGUGUAGCGGUGAAAUGCGUAGAGAUCGGGAGGAAUACCAGUGGCGAAGGCGGCCUUCUGGACUGACACUGACGCUGAGGUGCGAAAGCGUGGGUAGCAAACAGGAUUAGAUACCCGGGUCGUC